AUACGGAGGAUGCGAGCGUUAAUCGGAAUUACUGGGCGUAAAGCGUGCGCAGGCGGUUUUGUAAGACAGUGGUGAAAUCCCCGGGCUCAACCUGGGAACUGCCAUUGUGACUGCAAGGCUGGAGUGCGGCAGAGGGGGAUGGAAUUCCGCGUGUAGCAGUGAAAUGCGUAGAUAUGCGGAGGAAAACCGAUGGCGAAGGCAAUCCCCUGGGCCUGCACUGACGCUCAUGCACGAAAGCGUGGGGAGCAAACAGGAUUAGAUACCCUGGUAGUCCACGCCCUAAACGAUGUCAACUGGUUGUUGGGGAUUUAUUUUCUCAGUAACGAAGCUAACGCGUGAAGUUGACCGCCUGGGGAGUACGGCCGCAAGGUUAAAACUCAAAGGAAUUGACGGGG
rnacentral:rRNA from 1 species